GACAGCAGCAGCCACGGGAAUACGUAGGUGGCGAGCGUUGUCCGGAUUUAUUGGGCGUAAAGGGAGUGUAGGCGGUCUUUUAAGUCUGAUGUGAAAGCCCACGGCUCAACCGUGGAGGGUCAUUGGAAACUGGGAGACUUGAGUGCAGAAGAGGAGAGCGGAAUUCCAUGUGUAGCGGUGAAAUGCGUAGAUAUAUGGAGGAACACCAGUGACGGAGGCGACUCUCUGGUCUGUAACUGACGCUGAGGCUCGAAAGCGUGGGGAGCAAACAGGAUUAGAUACCCCUGUAGUCCCUGUCUCUUAUAC
rnacentral:rRNA from 1 species